ACCCAAACCCUAGGUCUGCUGACUCCUAGUCCAGGGCUCGUGAUGGCUGGUGGGCCCUGAACGAGGGGUCUGGAGGCCUGGGUUUGAAUAUCGACAG
rnacentral:pre_miRNA from 10 species